rnacentral:lncRNA from 1 species
GCCUCACAAGUACACAAGUAUUCAAACAAGGACUCCCCUCUAGAUUAGAGUGCACUAUUCUGACUCAAGACUCACCCAUUUUACCUUUCACCAUGGGGCUUAUAGCUAUCACUUUGGUCUUCGGCAGUUGAAAGAUAGAACAGUUAAGUCGAGCACUAUGCUACCCGCUCUUUGAUCAACUAUUAUUCCAGCGUUUUGCAAGAUUUUAAAUAAAACUUAGAGUUUUCUUGUAUGACAAUUUCCAGUCUCUCAUAUGUGGUAUUUUUGGAUCCUCUCUAAGGCAAGUGAGUAUGCCUUCUCUCUGCUCUCAGAAUAUGUGGUAUUUGUAUCACUAAGACAUAGUUGCCUUCUCUCUCUCACCCUACUUCUAAUUGGCUUAUGUGGAGCUCAUAGGUGGGAAAGAUAAUUCAAACCUACUUACAUGAAUUGCAUAGUUAAACCAUGGAUCUCGAGAAACUAAUUAUACAAUCAAGUCAUAUGUGCAUAUGAGGUAGUCAAUGAAGUGAAUGAUAAGAAUGAAAGUGGUAAUGAGGGGUGAUAACUGAUGGUGAAUAUCUUAUUCUACAUUUGCUCCUUGGGGAUGACAUACUUCCCUAAUCUGAGAACAAUGAUUUGGUUGUCUUUCUUUUCUUUUGCAUUGGGACUUUUGUCCUCUUUCUUUCUUUCUUUUUCUCUUUUUUCUUCUUUUUUUCUCUUUUUUAGAGAUCAGACAUCCCUUUUAAUUCAAUGACAACAGUAGGGAGUAUCAACUGGGAUAACUAGGGAUUUAUUGGAUAAGUAGAAUAAGACAUUGAAUAUUUUUGGGUGUCUUCUCCCAGUGUAGGAGUAGAACAUUUUCUAAGUGGACGUGGAAUGUGUGUGGGUGAAUGAAGAAUUGGGUACUCCUAGGGUAGGAGCAGCAUAGGUGCAUGUCUCUAGGAACAACACAGAGUGUAGUGCGUAUAUGUGGGUGGUACUUACAGGAACAGAAGUAGCACAUAGCGAAUGUGGUGUAUGAAAGUGGUUGCAUACUUCUGAGGACAGAAGUAAAUAGAUUUAGAGCACAUAAUUUGACUUUAACUACAUGACUAGUUCCAUAGGGUCUACACAGCUUAACUACUCUCAAUGCUUAUAGGUUGAAAUAUAAGUGGAGGUUUUCCUAAUCUAGUAAGAAUGAGUAGUUGGCCGUGGUAGGAAUUUUAAAACUCUCAUCAUAAAUGAACUCAUCAUAUAGCAAUUUAAGAUUUUCAAAAUAAAAUUCUCUAGAAUUCUAGCAUCUCUAGGAGCAAGAUUGAUAGCAUCUCAAAACCUUCCCAUAUCAUAUUCUUCAACUACCUAGACUUAGAUCAAGCAUUUGCUACCCUCAAGUUUUAGGCUCAGAGCAAAUCUUAAGUCUAAAUAGUUGUGCCUAAAACUCAAGAAAGUACAAGGUUGAAAACUAGAUACUUGCAAGGAAUUACGACUGAGCAACUAUUCAUCAUCUCCAUAUAACAGUUAAUUCUAGAGGUUCAUCUUAAUAGAUUCAUUAGAAGCUCUCCUAGCAAGAUUAAUUAUGAAAGAUAAAAUAUUUAUUGGGUUUCUAAGAUUAUUCAUCUUUUUAUCUUGUCAUGACACACUAGGAAUAAAUAGAUAAGUGAGUAAGGGAUAAUUAGCUCGGUGUACGGGGGUUGCUCUCCCCCAAGCUGGAUAUUGACAUAGUCUGUUGAGAUUGCUGACGGGCAGUGAAGACGUACUGAUCCUCUUGGAGUAUCGUAGGUACUUGUUAUCAGAAACAACACUUUCCUUGUGUGAACAGUACUCCGACAGGGCUCAAGUCGUCCUUCUGCCUGUUAGUUCUUCUUGAUCCUUUGAAGCCUAUGAAGCUCAAAUAGACAACAAAGCUUGUGGAACUGAUUAAGCGUUAGUAAUAAACCUCUAAGCUUUGAGAGUCAAGAACUUUCUUAUACCCAAUUAUCUUUUAGCAGGAUCAAUAUAUAUAUAUACUUUUCAUAUUUAUAGUAUGCAGAUAGGAAAAUAAAUAUGCUAAAACUUAUUUUUUGUGCCACCACAGUAGAUAAGUAUAUAAGCGGAUGCAUCACAUAUUAAAUACAAGGGGCUUAGUAGUUUUCUAAAUACAAUGCAAUACAUAUUUAUUUUAUUUUCUAAUGCAUAACCAAUAAAGAUGCAACUACUAAUACAGUUAAGAAAGACAAAUAUCCUUAAAGGAAGAUGUAGAUAAAUACCAAGUUACCUCUUGGCGUGG